rnacentral:tRNA from 1 species
GCGGGCGUAGCUCAGUUGGUAGAGCACAACGUUGCCAACGUUGUUGUCGACGGUUCGAACCCGUUCGCCCGCUC